rnacentral:rRNA from 1 species
CCUACGGGAGGCAGCAGUGAGGAAUAUUGGACAAUGGGCGCAAGCCUGAUCCAGCCAUGCCGCGUGCAGGAAGACGCAUCUAUGGUGUGUAAACUGCUUUUGUACAGGAAGAAACACUCCCUCGUGAGGGAGCUUGACGGUACUGUAAGAAUAAGGAUCGGCUAACUCCGUGCCAGCAGCCGCGGUAAUACGGAGGAUCCAAGCGUUAUCCGGAAUCAUUGGGUUUAAAGGGUCCGUAGGCGGUUUAAUAAGUCAGUGGUGAAAUCUGGUCGCUCAACGAUCAAACGGCCAUUGAUACUGUUAGACUUGAAUUAUAAGGAAGUAACUAGAAUAUGUAGUGUAGCGGUGAAAUGCUUAGAUAUUACAUGGAAUACCAAUUGCGAAGGCAGGUUACUACUUAUGGAUUGACGCUGAUGGACGAAAGCGUGGGGAGCGAACAGGAUUAGAUACCCUGGUAGUCCACGCCGUAAACGAUGGAUACUAGCUGUUGGGCGCAAGUUCAGUGGCUAAGCGAAAGUGAUAAGUAUCCCACCUGGGGAGUACGUUCGCAAGAAUGAAACUCAAAGGAAUUGACGGNNGAGAGNGCGACGACGACGACGAGGGAGGAGG